rnacentral:rRNA from 1 species
AUACGGAGGAUGCGAGCGUUAUCCGGAUUUAUUGGGUUUAAAGGGUGCGUAGGCUGUGCGUUAAGUCAGGGGUGAAAUGCCGUCGCUCAACGACGGAGCUGCCCUUGAUACUGGCGUGCUGGAGUACGGAUGCCGUUGGAGGAAUGAGUGGGGUAGCGGUGAAAUGCUUAGAUAUCACUCAGAACACCGAUUGCGAAGGCAUCUGACGAAUCCGUCACUGACGCUGAGGCACGAAAGCGUGGGGAUAGAACAGGAUUAGAUACCCUGGUAUUCCACGCCGUAAACGAUGAUGACUAACCGUCGGCGAUAGACAGCCGGUGGCCAAGCGAAAGCGAUAAGUCAUCCACCUGGGGAGUACGUCGGCAACGAUGAAACUCAAAUGAAUUGACGGGG